rnacentral:rRNA from 1 species
CAGUCGCCGCGGGAAUACGUAGGGUGCAAGCGUUAAUCGGAAUUACUGGGCGUAAAGCGUGCGCAGGCGGUUAUAUAAGUCAGAUGUGAAAUCCCCGGGCUCAACCUGGGAACUGCAUUUGAGACUGUAUGGCUAGAGUGUGUCAGAGGGGGGUAGAAUUCCACGUGUAGCAGUGAAAUGCGUAGAUAUGUAGAGGAAUACCGAUGGCGAAGGCAGCCCCCUGGGAUAACACUGACGCUCAUGCACGAAAGCGUGGGGAGCAAACAGGAUUAGAUACCCCUGUAGUCCCUGUCUCUUAUAC